GCCAGGUGUGGUGGUGCAUGCCUGUAAUCCCAGUGGUUUGGGAGGCUGAGACAGGAGGAUUGUAAGUUCAAAGCCAGCCUCAGCCAUUUAUUGAGGCCCUAAGCAACUCAGUGAGACCCUGUCUCUA
rnacentral:sRNA from 1 species